GAUGGACGCUGGCGGCGUGCCUAAUACAUGCAAGUCGAGCGAACGGACGAGAAGCUUGCUUCUCUGAUGUUAGCGGCGGACGGGUGAGUAACACGUGGAUAACCUACCUAUAAGACUGGGAUAACUUCGGGAAACCGGAGCUAAUACCGGAUAAUAUUUUGAACCGCAUGGUUCAAAAGUGAAAGACGGUCUUGCUGUCACUUAUAGAUGGAUCCGCGCUGCAUUAGCUAGUUGGUAAGGUAACGGCUUACCAAGGCAACGAUGCAUAGCCGACCUGAGAGGGUGAUCGGCCACACUGGAACUGAGACACGGUCCAGACUCCUACGGGAGGCAGCAGUAGGGAAUCUUCCGCAAUGGGCGGAAGCCUGACGGAGCAACGCCGCGUGAGUGAUGAAGGUCUUCGGAUCGUAAAACUCUGUUAUUAGGGAAGAACAUAUGUGUAAGUAACUGUGCACAUCUUGACGGUACCUAAUCAGAAAGCCACGGCUAACUACGUG
rnacentral:rRNA from 1 species